CUCCUUUUGGCAGCAGAUACACUAGAAUUGGAGCAAUACGGGGAUUAGCAUGGACCCCACGAAAGGGUGACAUGCAAAUUCGUGAAAUGUUCGUAUUUUUC
rnacentral:snRNA from 1 species